AGAGUUUGAUCCUGGCUCAGAUUGAACGCUGGCGGCAGACCUAACACAUGCAAGUCGAGCGGAUGACGGGAGCUUGCUCCUUGAUUCAGCGGCGGACGGGUGAGUAAUGCCUAGGAAUCUGCCUGGUAGUGGGGGGCAACGUUUCGAAAGGAACGCUAAUACCGCAUACGUCCUACGGGAGAAAGCAGGGGACCUUCGGGCCUUGCGCUAUCAGAUGAGCCUAGGUCGGAUUAGCUAGUUGGUGAGGUAAUGGCUCACCAAGGCGACGAUCCGUAACUGGUCUGAGAGGAUGAUCAGUCACACUGGAACUGAGACACGGUCCAGACUCCUACGGGAGGCAGCAGUGGGGAAUAUUGGACAAUGGGCGAAAGCCUGAUCCAGCCAUGCCGCGUGUGUGAAGAAGGUCUUCGGAUUGUAAAGCACUUUAAGUUGGGAGGAAGGGCAGUAAGCUAAUACCUUGCUGUUUUGACGUUACCGACAGAAUAAGCACCGGCUAACUCUGUGCCAGCAGCCGCGGUAAUACAGAGGGUGCAAGCGUUAAUCGGAAUUACUGGGCGUAAAGCGCGCGUAGGUGGUUCGUUAAGUUGGAUGUGAAAGCCCCGGGCUCAACCUGGGAACUGCAUCCAAAACUGGCGAGCUAGAGUACGGUAGAGGGUGGUGGAAUUUCCUGUGUAGCGGUGAAAUGCGUAGAUAUAGGAAGGAACACCAGUGGCGAAGGCGACCACCUGGACUGAUACUGACACUGAGGUGCGAAAGCGUGGGGAGCAAACAGGAUUAGAUACCCUGGUAGUCCACGCCGUAAACGAUGUCAACUAGCCGUUGGAAUCCUUGAGAUUUUAGUGGCGCAGCUAACGCAUUAAGUUGACCGCCUGGGGAGUACAGCCGCAAGGUUAAAACUCA
rnacentral:rRNA from 1 species